GAUGAACGCUGGCGGUAUGCCUUACACAUGCAAGUCGUACGAGAGUUUUUAAUUCAAGUGGCGGACGGGUGAGUAACACGUAAGAAUUUACCUUUAGGAGGGGGAUAUUAAUACCCCAUAUGCUUUCGAGUGAAAUGGAUUUCCGCCUAAAGAGAAGCUUGCGGCUGAUUAGCUUGUUGGUGAGGUAAUGGCUCACCAAGGCGACGAUCAGUAUCUGGUUUGAGAGGAUGAUCAGACACACUGGGACUGAGACACGGCCCAGACUCCUACGGGAGGCAGCAGUGGGGAAUUUUCCGCAAUGGGCGAAAGCCUGACGGAGCAACGCCGCGUGAGGGAUGAAGGCCUCUGGGCUGUAAACCUCUUUUAUCAAGGAAGAAGAUCUGACGGUACUUGAUGAAUAAGCCACGGCUAAUUCCGUG
rnacentral:rRNA from 1 species